rnacentral:rRNA from 1 species
UACGUAGGGUGCGAGCGUUGUCCGGAAUUAUUGGGCGUAAAGAGCUCGUAGGCGGUCUGUCGCGUCGAUCGUGAAAACUUGGGGCUUAACCCUGAGCUUGCGGUCGAUACGGGCAUGACUGGAAUUCGGCAGGGGAGACUGGAAUUCCUGGUGUAGCGGUGAAAUGCGCAGAUAUCAGGAGGAACACCGGUGGCGAAGGCGGGUCUCUGGGCCGAUACUGACGCUGAGGAGCGAAAGCGUGGGGAGCGAAACAGG